ACAGAACUCUUCAGGUCUGCUUGCUGAACUGUGGGAGAUUUCAAACUGUGAGUGUUAAGCGAAAGGCUUCCUUGGCCAUGUCAGAGAGCUGCCAAGAAGUUUGUCACUUUCUGAAAGAAAUGAGAUGACUGCCAGCCAGAAAACUGUGGAACUGAAUGACUCAUCUAAGAUCACACAGCUAAUCAAUAACAGAAGUUGGAUAUGGAUCAAGAUCUUCUGAUGCCCUGUUCCACUCCCCCUCCCAAGGCACUGCUUGCUGAGAAGCAGGCUCCUUCUUUCAUGGUGGACCUAUCCAACAAUAUAAGCACCAUGGCACAGGAAAAAGUGAACCAGAUAAGAACAUCAGAGACAUGCGGAGACACCUACCACUGACCAGAUAAUUCUCCCAAAACAUUGGUCUGAUCUUGUCAUGCCCUGGUUCAGAACCAGAUUGUUACUGCAUCUAAAGUAAUGUAUAAACAUCUCAGCAUAGUAAUUAGAGUCCUCCACAAUCUGGCCUGAAAUAAUUUUUUUUUAGAUUUACUUCAUAUUACUCUGAAUUCUAGCCAGACUAGCCCUAGUAGCUGUUCCCAGAUCUAGG